rnacentral:rRNA from 1 species
GACGAACGCUGGCGGCGUGCUUAACACAUGCAAGUCGAACGGAAAGGCCCUGCUUUUGUGGGGUGCUCGAGUGGCGAACGGGUGAGUAACACGUGAGUAACCUGCCCUUGACUUUGGGAUAACUUCAGGAAACUGGGGCUAAUACCGGAUAGGAGCUCCUGCUGCAUGGUGGGGGUUGGAAAGUUUCGGCGGUUGGGGAUGGACUCGCGGCUUAUCAGCUUGUUGGUGGGGUAGUGGCUUACCAAGGCUUUGACGGGUAGCCGGCCUGAGAGGGUGACCGGCCACAUUGGGACUGAGAUACGGCCCAGACCCCUACGGGAGGCAGCAGUGGGGAAUAUUGCACAAUGGGCGGAAGCCUGAUGAAGCAACGCCGCGUGCGGGAUGACGGCCUUCGGGUUGUAAACCGCUUUCGCCUGUGACGAAGCGUGAGUGACGGUAAUGGGUAAAGAAGCACCGGCUCACUACGUG